rnacentral:rRNA from 1 species
CCCUUAGAUGUUCUGGGCCGCACGCGCGCUACACUGACGGAGGCAGCAAGCAUGUCCUUCGCCGAGAGGUGUGGGGAAUCUUGUGAGUCUCCGUCGUGCUGGGGAUAGAUGGUUGCAAUUGUCGAUCUUGAACGAGGAAUUCCUAGUAAGCGCGAGUCAUCAGCUCGCGCUGAUUACGUCCCUGCCCUUUGUACACACCGCCCGUCGCUACUACCGAUUGAAUCGUUUAGCGAGAAUUUUGGAUCGGAGCCCUGGUGGGCAGCGAUGUCCGCCUGGGAUUUACCGAGAAAUCAUUCCAGCUUGCCGAUUUAGAGGAAGUAAAAGUCGUAACA